UCGAGAAUCUUCCACAAUGGACGAAAGUCUGAUGGAGCGACGCCGCGUGAUCGAUGAAGUGCUUCGGUAUGUAAAGAUCUUUUAUGAGGGAAGAAGUUUAUUGACGGUACCUCAUGAAUAAGGGCCUGCAAAACUCGUGCCAGCAGCAGCGGUAAUACGAGUGGCCCAAGCGUUAUCCGGAAUUAUUGGGCGUAAAGGAUAUGUAGGUGGUUAUGUUAGUCGAAUGUCUAACCUCUGGGCUCAACCUGGAAACAGCAUUCGAAACGGCAUGACUAGAGUAUAGUAGGGGUAAGCGGAACUCAUAGUGUAGGGGUGAAAUCCGUUGAUAUUAUGGGGAACACCAAAAGCGAAGGCAGCUUACUGGACUAUUACUGACACUGAAAUAUGAAAGCGUGGGUAGCGAAUGGG
rnacentral:rRNA from 1 species